AGUAGCAGUGGUGAGCAAACACUGGAUGAAGGGGGAGAAGAAGUAGCAGUGGUGAGCAAACACUGGAUGAAGGGGGAGAAGAAGUAGCAGUGGUGAGCAAACACUGGAUGAAGGGGGAGAAGAAGUGUCUGUGGCCAACAUUUGUUUCGCCAGACAAAAUAGGAAAAGCUGUAACCAAUCAUGCAAAACCUGACAUUUCCUGGCAGUGUUAUGCAGGUGAAAUUGCUUAUUCAACAGAAAGUUAUGAGAAAGCCAAGAAAAAUGCCAAGGCGAUAGAAGAGGACUCUUCGUUUUCCAGUGAUCCAGAAUGACAGCUGCAAAGGGGAGAUCGUUGUAGAAGGGUGGCCCUUAUAAAUGGAAAAAGGCUAAAGAAUAACCAAGGACGUCGGACUGAAUCGCAGACAGCAGAAGAAGGCUUCACAGAGACAUUCUCUGAUUUAUUUGACAUUGCUCACCAGAUGCAUUGCCAUUAAUUACUGCUGAAGAAGACAAAGCCUUUCUGCUUGCACAACGUGAACAAGGCCGAAAGGGUGUCAUGGCAGGCGUGGAUGCAUCGCCGGUAAAGAAAAAAGCAGAACUGAACAUUAACCGGAUAAACGCUGUAAGUGGGAAGAAAAACAGAAAGUGGAACUAGAUUUGAUGAACCAAAGUAUUGCGCUCUCCUCAAGUCACUCUGAAUCUAUUUGGCCAAUUUCUGCAUUAUAGAAUCAAAAUGUAUACUCUCUGCAGUUUAAUCCA